ACGGCCAUACCAUGCUGAAUAUACCGGUUCUCAUUAGAUCACCUAAGUCAAGCAUCACUGGGCGCGGUCAGUACCCGGGUGGGGACCACCCGGGAACACUGCGUGCCGUUG
rnacentral:rRNA from 1 species